rnacentral:lncRNA from 1 species
GGCCGAGCUGUGUGUGCAGCGGGGUAGAUGGGACAGAGAGAAAGCGAGGUGUUUAAACGCUCGGAAAUCAUCUUCUAAUUUAGGAACCGAGCUGCAAGGUAUCUUUCUCCCUUAAUGGCUUGAGCUGGGAAUCUGGAUUUUGACCCUCUUCUCUUGCCAGGCCCCCAAAACGUCUUCAGGCAUCAACAGAGGGCAAGGGUGAGGCUUCGGGGCGGCAGUGCCAUCCCGGUCUGGAACCCGAGGACUCAGACGCCAGAGCCCCUCCCGGCCUCUGUCGACUCCAGCUUCUGCCGGCUGUCAUCGCCCGUCGUCGCCGCUGUUGCACGGUCGUUAUUAAGCACUUUAACACUUGCACAAGGAGUGUGCGACUCUCCAGUGACGCUCCUCCCCGCAUCGCUGUCGGAGGAGAGCUGCAAUUGUUCUCCCUGUUUUGCACACGAGAAAAUGAAGGGCUGGGAAGGAAUAUGGAUACGAUGGCAGGAGCUAAAGCAGCCCUUUUAGACCAGAAAGUGGAAGCCACCUGUUGAGGACGUCAAGCAACAAGACAGCCAGAGUCUGAAUCCCAGAUGACAUGGAACCACCAUGGCCCACUGGACACGAACCCUUGGGCUGUUCCAUGGAGAAGAUUAAACUUUUAUUUUGUUCAAGAUAGUUAUUUUCGCUUUUAUGACAGCAGCUGCACUGAUAUCCUGACCAAUACAAGAUUUAAAACAGAUUUUAGAACUAUUUAGAACAGAUUUUGGAACUAUUUUAGGCCGAGCUUUUUAAAACAAGCAUCAGUGACUGGAAAGUUAGACUCUGCUCAAAAAUACUGUUAAGGACUCUGCUCUCCAGGGAGAUUGAACAGCAUACAGUAGGGAGCAGUGUUUGGUGAGAAGAAACUCAACGUCUAAAACCCCCCUGGAACUGAGAUGUUUGGUAAGCCAAGCUCCCCGUCAGCAUCCCGGCCACGCCAAGCUCACAAGGGAUGCAGCAACCUGCUUCCUAGUAGCCACCACACAAAUCCUGAGAUGAACUCUGAUUGGACCAACUUGUACCACAUGCCCUUCCCUGAACCAGUCAUGGUGGCCGUUGUGCUUUGGCUGCUCUGAUUGGCUGGUGCUAAGUCCCUUGCUUGUUGUUGGGCUAGGGUGUCACAGGAACACCCUGGCCAGAAAGAACUUACGGAAAGUUCCCACAUGGUUCCCACGGAAAGGCAGGGUGCCUGGCACAGAAGAGCAUGCAAUCGAUGCAGGAGGCCCCUGAAUUAGCCAGCAUCCUUCAAACUCAUGGGAUGAAAAGAAAGAAAAUUUAGAAAAUAACAUAAAGCAUCGGGGGCCCUGGAGGGGAGUUGCUGUGGGAUUUCUCAUCAGCCGCUCUGCACAAUUUCUUUUUGGCAAAUGAAAGUAUUGAGCCCGGCUAGCUCUUCCUGCCAACGUUCAACACGCGUGACUAUCCCCAGAAAGUAACUCAACAAAUCGCAGCAAGAGACGCCCCCGGCUGGAGACGGAAAGGACAUUUCCAAAGCUACCGACGGUGUCCUCUGUGUUUCGGUAAUUUCCUGUGAAACACAGCAAAGGAGUUCAUUUGAAGUAAAGGGGGCAGUUAUGUACCAAAGGGUGGAGUGGGGGGGUGGCUUGUUAAUGCCAUGGGAGAGAUGCUUCUGCCCAGCGAGAGGAGUCGUCUGCAUUAUUACAGGCGCGCUGUUUACUGGAAGGACAGCAUGUGCCACUCUGUUCUUUUGGGGAGUUCUAAAACAGGACUGUUUACCCUUGCAGCUAGUUGCUAUCUCAGUUUGGAAACCCCCAAAGGCAGAGCUCGUACCUUAGUUUGGGUUUCUCCAGAGGUGGGCCCUGAGACAAAGAUUCGAGGACGAAUAAUUUAUUAGGAAGGCGAAUGACAUACCAGUAGGGAAGAGGAAAGUGAGCCAGCAAAGGGAGGACAACAAAAUCAAGCAAGUUAUCAGGACGGUUACUACUGUGGGCAGCUGGAGCCACCCGGUGUGGAGCACGCCUCUCAGAGGGACCCUGCUUGAUGGACCAGAGGGCUGGGGUGUUUGUACUCAGCCUCCUUGUGCGAUGGUUGACAGCUGCUGGGCAGAAGGGAGGGAGCAUGAAUUCUCCAGCGCCUCUAGCCUGCUUGACUCCAUCAGCCAGGAAAAAGCCCAAACUCAUGCAGAAGGAGGUCAAGGCAAGCGCAGUCGGGGCACCCUGCUGGCCCUCAGCCCUGGCUCUGCGAGCUUGGCUCACGGGUGGACCAACCUUGCCGAAAGAGGCAGAAACUCAGCUGGCAAAAAAGAAUCCUUUUUGUUCAAACUGCAUCAUCUUCAGAUUGCGGACGCGCUGCGUCUCGAUUCUAUUUCAGACGCUCUGUAGGUCUCCCUUCAAUGUGUCAUUGUAACCCGGUCUCCAGUGCGGGAGCCUGACACGCAGUUAAGAUUCAGGCAGACUUUCAAAGUCACGUGUGGCCUGUCCAAACCCCAAAGUGAAUUGGGAUUUCAUUGUUUUAAAUGAGACACUUUGGUGCCAAUAAUGAUACAAGCCAGUGAGUCAAUGCCCCCUUUCGAUUUCAAAACUGCGGUUUUCAGCUUAUGGCUGGUGGGGACUUCCGAGAAGGCACAACGCUAACAAUGGAACAAACAACUUAAAAAAGAUGGCGCCACAACAGAGGCCUCGACUGACGUCUGUAUGUUCACACGAGUCCAGAUAAACCCUAUACUAUUGGUAUUUGUAAGCGGAGCCAUAAAGGGCGGGGCCAGCCCAUGUCCUGAGGAAGUCCCUUCAUCCCUCUGAGCACCAGCUUCCUCAUUUCUAAAGUGGAGAUGGUAACGGGACCUGCCUCACAGGCGGGUUGUGAGGAUGAGUAAGAGACAGUGUGUAAAAUGCUCAGUCAGCUGACCCGUUAGUUUCCUAUGGCCGCUCCCAAAAAUUAUCACAAA